CUCACUUACACUCUCGGGGAACCGCGCGGGAUCCCGGACCAACAGGGGCCGCGCCCCCAGGGGCCCCGAGCCACGCGCGCCCCGACUUGUCCCCGCCGACCCCGGUCUCUACUCCCCCCUGCCCGCUCGCCUUCCAGGCGCAAGGCCUGCCGCACCCCGUCAUGCUCGGACUCUUGGUCCCCAGGGAUCCGGCCGUAUUGUCCCCGCGGCGCGCAGCGCGCUCGUCUGAGAUCGCCAGCGGCCCCCGCGCGCGCACCCACCGGGCUCCAGGAGCAAGCCCGGGGCGCCUAGGAAACCGUCGUCAGACGCCGCCGCCGCUGCCCUCCGGACGCCGCUGCGCGCCGGGUUUUUCUUUCCUUUUUUUUCCAAUCCUGAUGGGAAGGAAGGUGACCGCCUACUUCGCAUUCAUCAACUCUCAUCACAACAACAAAAAUCCUGGAGCAAAGGGCGGCCAGCAAGCGCAAUCGGUGGCGAGGGGCAGAGGACCAGAACCCCCAGGCGGGGGUCCACUCCCGGGCGUAGUGUAUGGACACAGGGCUGGGGGCGCUGACCAAAGAUGUCCUCGGAUGCCGGCCCGGUGUCCUUCGCCCUCCUCCUUCUCCCGGAGUGGCGCAGUGAGGCGCGGGCACGGUGCCCCAGCCAGCGGCCGCAGGAGGAGGAAAGCGCAGAGAAAAGGAAAGGAAAGGACGGAAGCGGCGCGGGCCGCUGCUCCGGUGCCCUCCGGCUGCGCAGGAGCGAGGCGGGAGGCGAGAUACUUCUCACUACAAAUCGGCUCUCUCCGGGGAUUAGCAGCUACACGAAAGUGCAUACUGGCGCUGCGGGCAGCCGAGGGGGCCGGGCAAGGCAGACACUCCCCGGCCCAGCCCCGCGCCUCCACUGAGACUCUGGGGACGCGCAGGGGUCCCGCAGCCGGUGGGGUGACUUCGCCCUCCUUCUUCCUCCUCCCCUUCCACGUGGGGCCCGCCACGUGGGGAGACGCGAGCUCUGGCGGGCCUCGGCACCGUCCCCCGGGUGGCCCCGGCUCGAUAAGGCCCCCACCACGCCCGCUCAGCCGACCUGCACUCUACUCGGCCCCGAGGCUCCAACUUCCUCCUGGGCCCCGCGCAGGCCACGGGUGCCGUCCCAGGCUCGUGAGGUCAGGCGCGGGCCGGCCACAGGGGGCACUUGCGCUCCCAGAUCCCAGAUCCGGGAGACCCUGCCAGGGAGGUAGCGCUGGCUGCGGGUGCGCGCGGAGACUGGUCUGUGUGCUGGAACUUGCCACGAUGUGUUCGCUACGAGAAGCCAAAUGUUUUUACACAUUUAGAAAUGUCUUUCUGUUGUCUGAAUGUCGCUGGGGCUAUUUUGAAAGCCUUGCCUUGGUCAGGUCACCAGCCUCUCUGAGACCUUGCGGGCCCAGGGGUCGCGUGUGCAGUGCCAUUUCUCGAUCACGAGUCCACAAGUGUCUCGGUGCAUUGCGAUUGAAAUCUGGACUCUCAACGACCAGGGGACACAGCGGCCGCGCGAGACUAGCCAGCAUCUGGGCUGGAUUCCUUGGCCAUGACCCGCAACAUCUAAGCGCUGUCCCCGGAAGGGAGCCGGCUCCCUGCGCUCAGGGCCCCCCAGGCUUACCAGACUUUAAGCGCGCGUCUUCUAAGGACCCCUGUGGCGCUAAACAGAGCCCUUGUAUGCAGUUGUUUUAAAAAUCGUUUGGGGUGCUAGCGACUGGAUUGAGAUGUUAGGUUGUAUGAUCGAGAGGGGGUGUCCAGGGUCACAACUUUGAAGACCACAGGGACCGCCAUUCAGAGAGCCACGUAAAGUGGUGUGGGUGGCCUCCUCGCGACCGGAGAAAUUUAUAGCAGAGGCCUCCGAGCCCCUAAACCCAUCGCUGAGCGUUCUUCAGAGCCCUGCCUUUCUCGGGCUUUAUCACGGCCUGUUUGUCUUACUUAAACUGAACACCCAGAUGCCGGGCGUGAGACUAGCAAUGUGGGGUUUCUAUGUUAUGUAGCCAAACUGGGUUUUAAACUAGAUUGAAAAUCUUUUCUGAAAGGUAAAACGGGUAUGGUCCCUCUCAGACCAACCUUUCAUGAUAUUCCCGUGGCCCCAAUAGUCCAGGGGCUGGUCUUGAUGUUCUGUGAAAGGUAUACACCCGCCUCUGACCCAGUGGUCUCCAUCUUCCAGGGCUGUGUGCUCACAGAUUCCUCUUAAGAGUUCACUUCUUCCCAACAGCUUCGCUCCAGGUCCAUGAGGCCCAGGACUUGCUGGCAAAUUGACCUUGUCCAUACCAGGGCUUCUGUGUCACCAAUGCCUGCUUUCUGGUCCUACCUAUGGUAGUUCCUGCUCUUUUGUUUCUCAGAUCUUUACCCUUCGUGGUCCCCUAUUCUCACCAAGAAACCACAGUCAGCUGGCUUUUCCUAUUGCUUCUUCAGCUUUCCUGUGGUCUGAUUUUGAAUUCCACUUUAGAAAAAUGCUUCCGUGGGCCCUGCAGGAUGCCUCAGCCUACAAAGCUGCUAUCAAGCCAGAGGAUCUGAGUUCAGUCCUUAAAGGCUGGGUGAAGACGGAAGGAAAGAGUAGACUAAGUUGUCUCAGACCCCUGCAUGAGUACCACAUAUCACACAACAAUAAAAUACUACCCUCUUUCUUAUGAACUCAGAACUAAAAAUUAUUUCAAACUUCAGCCUGACCACUUGCAUUUUAAAAUAUGGAACCCAG
ensembl:lncRNA